CUCACUCAUCCCUUCACGUAGGCUCUCCCAGAUUGUCUAGUUGCUUGUGCCCCAGGGAUAACAUUCGUUUCACUCUUUUUGAAACAUUCAGUGUUUCUAGAGAUACAGCGAUGUCGAAUUCAGGAGCUCUGAGUUUUGUUACCAACGUGGGAGGAAGGAUACAAAAAGAAGAAGUCAAAUCGGCAACGGAGAAGUACGAGAAGUAUCAUGACUGUUAUGGGGGGAACGAGGAGACAAGGAAGGCCAACGCCACCGACUUGGUAAGACAA